rnacentral:rRNA from 1 species
GAUGAACGCUGGCGGCGUGCUUAACACAUGCAAGUCGAACGAAGCACUUUAUUUGAUUUCCUUCGGGACUGAUUAUUUUGUGACUGAGUGGCGGACGGGUGAGUAACGCGUGGGUAACCUGCCUUGUACAGGGGGAUAACAGUUGGAAACGGCUGCUAAUACCGCAUAAGCGCACAGCAUCGCAUGAUGCAGUGUGAAAAACUCCGGUGGUAUAAGAUGGACCCGCGUUGGAUUAGCUAGUUGGUGAGGUAACGGCCCACCAAGGCGACGAUCCAUUGCCGACCUGAUAGGGUGACCGGCCACAUUGGGACUGAGACACGGCCCAAACUCCUACGGGAGGCAGCAGUGGGGAAUAUUGCACAAUGGGCGAAAGCCUGAUGCAGCGACGCCGCGUGAGCGAAGAAGUAUUUCGGUAUGUAAAGCUCUAUCAGCAGGGAAGAUAAUGACGUUACCUGACUAAGAAGCACCGGCUAAAUACGUG